CAGUAUUAAUUGAUAAUAGAUAAUGCAGUUCAGAGCACUAGAGGGCGCCGCUUGCUCACACAGCGCUGACUGAAGAAACAGUCUUUUAAGGUUUAAUAAUCGCACAAAGCCAUAUAGUGAUUUCAAUCUUAAUUCGAUCAAUCAUGCCGUAUUAAUGGAUAAUAGAUAAUGCAGUUCAGAGCACUAGAGGGCGCCGCUUGCUCACACAGCGCUGACUGAAGAAACAGUCUUUUAAGGUUUAAUAAUCGCACAAAGCCAUAUAGUGAUUUCAAUCUUAAUUCGAUCAAUCAUGCAGCAUUAAUGGAUAAUAGAUAAUGCAGUUCAGAGCAAAGUGCACUAGCCUAAAGAUAAGUGUCACUUUCACAACUGCCACAGCUUUUUUUUCCACAUUGUGAGAACUUCUACAUAUUGUGGCUAUUAUUAUUUCUGGAUUGUGCAUUUAAAUUCACAGAAAGUGUGUAACUAAUUAAUUACAAUAUUAAAAUAUAUGCAUUUUCAUGCUUAUAAACAAUAUGCUGAUGGUUUUAAUUUGAUCAAUUAUUGGCUGAUAAAUAGCGGCGGCCGAUACAUCGGUGCAUUCCUAAAAAUUAGCUCUUCAUAGCACAUACUUCCCACGCUGAGAGACAGAGAGAGAGAGAGAGAGAGAGAGAGAGAGAGAGAGAGACAAACAAACACAUGCGUGAAACGCACAUAAAAGAACAUAGAAAAACACAAUCAAGCGGUUUCUACAAUUGCAAAUGCAUACACAUACAAAUGCAUGCAUGCAAACAAACGGCAGCCAUACCCAAAGCAUUGAUGGAAUGGAAUGUCAAUGUGGCGUCACACACACACACACACACACACACACACACACACAAAGACUGCCAGAUGUUCAACUGCCUCUUAGGAGAACCAAGACAAGAGCUCUACUCUCAGCUUACACACACACACACACACACACACACACACACACACACACACACACACACACACACACACACACACACACACACACACACACACACACACAGAGCAGAUAAUCCAAGCACUUCACGUCAACCUGACACUUCCUGAACUCCCCAUAAUGCACCACACUGUGAGAAUAUCUUCAGGAAUUCAAGUUCAAUUAAGUUCCAUGUAAAAUUAUUCAUGGCAUCUGCUAUCAGAAGUUUCUUCUCCGCUUCAAAGAAAAGUCCACCAAAUUCCAACGUAGCUAAUUAAUUAUUCAAAAGACACAUGGACAGUUUCCAGUCCUGGAUGGCGAUUGGUCAAUACAGCUUUACAUUCGUGCAGACAUACAGGAUAAAGGCUAGUAACAGCUGCGAUCACUGAUAUCAGUGUGUAUUUGAAUGUUUAUGGACCGGCCCUUUUCACUUCUGUUGUAUGUUUUAUUCUAAUCACAAUUUUACAAUUUUACAUUUUACAUGGUAAUCAAUAUGAUGCCACAAAUGCUGUUAAUUGAGCUUAACUUGUACUGAACUCAAAUGAACACACACACACACACACACACACACACACACACACAAACGGUUAUUGGCCAAUCGGGACAGCAAUAAUAUACCCAUAAUCUCAAAAUGACUAAAUAUCAUCUGAUUAUUCAGCCUCCACAAUAUAUCAGUCUAUCGCUAUUGAGAAUAAUGGCAAUUACACAAAUCUCAAAAAUGAUAUAUCAGGACGCAUUAUGGUAAUGAGAAUUUGGGAGUGUGCAUUAUUAUCAUAACAAAAAAAUCUCUUCAUUUUCAGAUUCUCAAUUUCUUCAGUGGAUUCACCUUCAGUGGAGUGUUUGACCUUUUCUGCAUUACAUAAGAAGUACAGACAUUCAUGUGCCGGUAACAAAAAUAUGAAGUGGCCUACAUUUGCUGUGAAGAUCCUGCUGUUUUAGCUUUACGCAACUCAUGUGAUACUGGCCCCAUUUAGAUGAGUGUGAGAAAGACUGCUCUGACCAAAACACUGGCUGUCUAGUUAUCUGUUUUGGAACAUAUCAGGCUUUCUAAAGAGUAAUUUGGUAAU